rnacentral:rRNA from 1 species
CGGGACACGUGGUAUCCUGUCUGAAUAUGGGGGGACCAUCCUCCAAGGCUAAAUACUCCUGACUGACCGAUAGUGAACCAGUACCGUGAGGGAAAGGCGAAAAGAACCCCGGCGAGGGGAGUGAAAAAGAACCUGAAACCGUGUACGUACAAGCAGUGGGAGCCUCUUUAUGGGGUGACUGCGUACCUUUUGUAUAAUGGGUCAGCGACUUAUAUUCUGUAGCAAGGUUAACCGAAUAGGGGAGCCGAAGGGAAACCGAGUCUUAACUGGGCGUUAAGUUGCAGGGUAUAGACCCGAAACCCGGUGAUCUAGCCAUGGGCAGGUUGAAGGUUGGGUAACACUAACUGGAGGACCGAACCGACUAAUGUUGAAAAAUUAGCGGAUGACUUGUGGCUGGGGGUGAAAGGCCAAUCAAACCGGGAGAUAGCUGGUUCUCCCCGAAAGCUAUUUAGGUAGCGCCUCGUGAAUUCAUCUCCGGGGGUAGAGCACUGUUUCGGCAAGGGGGUCAUCCCGACUUACCAACCCGAUGCAAACUGCGAAUACCGGAGAAUGUUAUCACGGGAGACACACGGCGGGUGCUAACGUCCGUCGUGAAGAGGGAAACAAC